rnacentral:misc_RNA from 1 species
GAUGAAGAACGUAGCGAAAUGCGAUAAGUAAUGUGAAUUGCAGAAUUCAGUGAAUCAUCGAAUCUUUGAACGCACAUUGCGCCCGCCAGUAUUCUGGCGGGCAUGCCUGUUCGAGCGUCAUUACAACCCUCAGGCCCCCGGGCCUGGCGUUGGGGAUCGGCGGAAGCCCCCUGCGGGCACAACGCCGUCCCCCAAAUACAGUGGCGGUCCCGCCGCAGCUUCCAUUGCGUAGUAGCUAACACCUCGCAACUGGAGAGCGGCGCGGCCACGCCGUAAAACACCCAACUUCUGUAUGUUGACCUCGAAUCAGGUAGGAAUACCCGCUGAACUUAAGCAUAUCAAUAAGCGGAGGA